rnacentral:lncRNA from 12 species
CCUAGACUCAGAACUCAGGCUCCUGUUGCCCUGUGGCCACAUUAAGGGUUAAACCACCUUCUGUGGAAAAGGCUUUGCUGCAAAGUCACCACUUAGGACCUUGUAAUUGAGGAAGAAAUGCAUCUUGGAUUUCUAAGCACUGACUUACAAACUUUCUGAGCUCAGCUUUUUUCAUAGAUUGGGUGCUGGUCUCUAACAUGUCAUUUAUACUCUGUGAUUUUGUUGGUGGGAUUUACUCUGAGCCAUCCAGCCUGGGGAGUUCCAUCAUCGAGCAAACAUUUAUCUCUCGCGCAUGUAAUUUGGCUAAGCCCUUAAUGAUGCACAAUAGCUUUUAUCAUGUCUGCCUCGUGUCUUUAUUUAGUCUGACUGAUUAACUGGCUCAAAUCCUGUCCCUGUGCGGAGUACAGAUAAACAAGGGUUUAACAAACUCAAGGGUACCUUAGAGUCUCCUGGGAGGGCAAUGAGAGACUUGGGGAGCUUUCUCAGAGUGCUGUGCAGAGGCAGGAGCACAGCAGUGACCUUGACCAGAGGCUACAGGGGGAAAGAGAGGAGUCAGAUUACCCAGAUUGAACAGCAGAGGCGGGAGGGGGACCUCAGGCUCUCUGCAGAGGAUUACACCCGUGUCCAGGAGCAACUGAUGCCUGUUUGUACGGAUCUGCAUAACUGUAAGGAGCUGCACUAAUGAUGCUUCCUGGAACACCUGCUCCUCGAUGGCUUGCUGUCCCCACUAUUUGGACCCUGCUCUGUACUUCUCCUAGUAAAACGAUUACAAGAUCCUUCAGAAGGGUAACCAACUCCUGAAAAUCCUUUCUCAGAGAGUGUGAGCCAGGUGAAAGCCAGAUGGGCUUUGGGACUAUUUCCUGAGGCUGAGCGCUCCAGAAAUGUUAUUUCUACGGGUAAAUAUCAGCUCCAUGUGACUACCCAGAUCCCAAUGCCACGUAGGUGACUCAGAAUGCUGGUUGUCCCCCUGCAGCCAUGUAGGCAGUGCCUUCAUCCUCUGAGUUUGAGGAAGGGAAGCCGGUAAUGACCUGGUGGUGACCUACUGUCUGUCACUAAAGGAGAAGCAGGGC